UAUUCGUGUUUUAUAGGCGAUGUAUAAUUCAAACUGUAAUUGAAACUUUCAUUACGGCACAGUUAUUUAGUAAUUGCUACAGCCGAUGUAGAUUUAAAUCUGCAAAUGCUAUUGAUAUCGGUUGACAUAUGGUAAAUGUUUAUUGAUGUUCAAUCGUUUAAAGUGAACUACCAUCGAAAGCAGUUGUUUAUACCAGGGUGGAAGUUCAUCAUACAUUUCCUCGGCACAAUUCCGAUUUCUUUGGCGCCGCGAUUUAAAGGUACCGUUGGAAAAACGAAGGGCUGCAAUUUAGUAUAGCAUCCCCGGAUUUCGGGGUUAAAAUGGAAGUUGUUCUACAACUUUCACACGUACAAGUUAACUCCAAAGCAUUUUAAGGAUAAGCUGGUGCAUGUAAGAGAUAAAUAAUCUAUGGUUACAACUCCAAGGUUUUAGCUCUGCAGCAUAUAUAGGAGGUGGCAAAUAAUUCGGUCAACCGACGUACUUUUUGGGAUCUCCAGGAGUUACUGUUAUUUGCUAUACAGUCAUUGACCAAAUAUAGGAAACUAAAGAAAGACAAUUCCAGACGUAAAGUUAAGCUGCGUUUACUGCCGAAAUAGAUUUUCUUAAGUGUGCCAUCGCGAUGGCUGCUCCAGCAGCCUGUACGCGUUUUUCCGAUAAUUAUGAAAUUAAGGAGGAACUUGGAAAGGGCGCCUUCUCUGUCGUCAAACGUUGUGUUCAAAAAUCAACACAAUUCGAGUUCGCAGCGAAAAUAAUCAACACAAAGAAACUCACCGCAAGAGAUUUCCAAAAAUUAGAGCGAGAAGCUAGAAUUUGUAGAAAACUACAUCAUCCUAAUAUCGUCAGACUGCACGAUAGCAUACAAGAAGAAAACUAUCAUUAUUUGGUGUUUGAUCUUGUUACUGGUGGUGAGCUGUUUGAAGAUAUUGUUGCGCGUGAAUUUUAUUCAGAGGCUGAUGCAUCGCAUUGCAUUCAACAAAUUUUGGAAUCGGUUAAUCAUUGCCAUCAGAAUGGUGUGGUGCAUCGUGAUCUGAAACCAGAAAAUUUACUAUUAGCUAGUAAAGCUAAGGGUGCAGCUGUUAAACUCGCCGACUUCGGCUUAGCCAUAGAAGUUCAGGGCGACCAUCAGGCAUGGUUCGGUUUUGCCGGUACUCCUGGCUACUUAUCGCCGGAGGUGCUGAAAAAGGAGCCAUAUGGCAAAUCGGUAGAUAUAUGGGCAUGUGGAGUUAUUUUAUAUAUUUUAUUAGUCGGUUAUCCACCUUUUUGGGAUGAGGAUCAACAUCGUCUUUACUCUCAAAUAAAGGCUGGUGCAUAUGAUUAUCCAUCGCCCGAAUGGGAUACCGUAACACCUGAAGCAAAAAACUUGAUAAAUCAAAUGCUAACAGUUAAUCCAAAUAAGAGAAUUACUGCAGCUGAAGCGCUGAAGCAUCCAUGGAUUUGCCAAAGAGAGCGUGUGGCUUCGGUGGUUCAUCGCCAAGAAACUGUGGAUUGUCUCAAAAAAUUCAAUGCUCGGCGUAAACUUAAGGGUGCUAUUCUUACUACAAUGUUAGCAACCAGAAAUUUUUCAAGUAGGAGUAUGAUUACCAAGAAAGGUGAGGGAUCUCAAGUUAAGGAAUCAACAGAUUCCUCAAGUACAACACUAGAGGAUGACGACGUUAAGGAAGAUAAAAAGGGAAUUGUUGAUCGCAGCACAACAGUCAUAUCAAAAGAGCCCGAAGAAAUAAGGAUUGUUUGUCCAGCGAAAACUUCUCAACAAAUGUCAUCCAAUUCUCAAUGCACAGCAAGACGUCAGGAAAUAAUUAAAAUAACUGAACAACUGAUUGAGGCCAUAAAUAGCGGUGACUUCGAUGGAUACACCAAAAUUUGUGAUCCUCACUUAACUGCAUUUGAGCCUGAAGCUUUAGGCAACCUGGUCGAAGGAAUUGAUUUCCAUAAAUUUUACUUUGAGAACGGAGAAAAAAAUUCAAAUCUGGAUGUAAUGUCCUGCUCAAAAUUAUUAGUCAAACGCCGCAUAUAAAUUAUGGAAUAUUUUUCGAUUCUACUAUAUAUUUACAAUAACCUAAGUAAACGGUUUAUAGUCAAUCGGAAAGUCGAAAAUCACUAUAUUGGUUCUGGGCAAAAAUUGCAAAGCUAUAAAUACUACUAUUCUGAAUCCUCAUGUCCACUUGCUGGGAGAAGAUGCAGCAUGCAUUGCCUAU
rnacentral:misc_RNA from 1 species